AAAGUACUCCCUCCAUCCCAAAAUUCUUGUCUUAGAUUUGUCUAGAUACGGAUGUAUCAAGUCACAUUUUAGUAUUAGAUACAUCCGUAUCUAGAAAAAUCCGAGACAAGAAUAUUGGGACGGAGGGAGUAGUUG
rfam:Triticum aestivum genome assembly, contig: Triticum_aestivum_CS42_TGACv1_scaffold_328977_4BS